GGAAGUAAAGGCCGUAACAAGGUUUCCGUAGGUGAACCUGCGGAAGGAUCAUUAUUGUAUAACCGAGGUGCGAGGGCUGUCGCUGACCCGAAAGGUCGUGCACGCCCGAGUGCCCUCACACACAUCCAUCUCACCCCUAUGUGCACCACCGCGUGGGUCCCCCUUUGGCUUGUUCGGAGGGGGGCUUACGUUUUCACACAAACUUUGUAUGCAGUGUAGAAUGUAUUUUUUGUUUUUGCGAUCACGCAAUCAAUAUAACUUUCAACAACGGAUCUCUUGGCUCUC
rnacentral:misc_RNA from 1 species